AUUGAACGCUCGCGGCAGGCCUAACACAUGCAAGUCGAGCGAGCGGAGGACGGGUGAGAAAUGUAUGGGGACUGCACGAUAGAGGGGGAUAACUACCGGAAACGGUAGCUAAUACCGCAUACUAUCGGAUAACCCAUAUGGGAUUAGCUAGUAGGUGUGGUAAUGGCGCACCUAGGCGACGAUCCCUAGCUGGUCUGAGAGGAUGAUCAGCCACACGGGUACGGAGACACGGCCCAGACGCCUACGGAGGCAGCAGUGGUGAAUAUUGCACAAAGGGCGCAAGCCUGAUGCAGCCAUGCGGCGUGUAUGAAGAAGGCCGUAGGGUUGUAAAGUACUUUCAGUCGGGAGGCGUUACCUGCAGAAGAAGCACCGGCUAACUCCGGGCCAGCAGCCGCGGUAAUAC
rnacentral:rRNA from 1 species